GCAGAGUAGAUUUGUGUGCGUUAAGUGCCGGGUGGACAGGGAGUUGCCAUUCGGACGAAAGGGUAGAACUUGCGGUACACAUUUCGCAUCCCGCUGC
rnacentral:ncRNA from 1 species